rnacentral:rRNA from 1 species
UACGUAGGGUGCAAGCGUUAAUCGGAAUUACUGGGCGUAAAGCGUGCGCAGGCGGUGAUGUAAGACAGGUGUGAAAUCCCCGGGCUUAACCUGGGAACUGCAUUUGUGACUGCAUCGCUGGAGUGCGGCAGAGGGGGAUGGAAUUCCGCGUGUAGCAGUGAAAUGCGUAGAUAUGCGGAGGAACACCGAUGGCGAAGGCAAUCCCCUGGGCCUGCACUGGACGCUCAUGCACGAAAGCGCGGGGAGCAAACAGG